CAUGAUUAGUUAAUCUAGGAUUGUUUAGAGGGUAGUCGCAGUCGCCCCAACUCCAACUUAUAAAACAAUUUUUUAUUUUGUAAGUAGGGUGAGAAACAACAUUUUGUUGGAAACUCUAUUUUUUUUAAGAAAUUAGAGAACUGU
rnacentral:ncRNA from 1 species